UUAGUGGCGGACGGGUGAGUAACGCGUGGGCAACCUGCCUUACACAGGGGGAUAACACUUAGAAAUAGGUGCUAAAACCGCAUAAGCGCACAGCUUCGCAUGAAGCGGUGUGAAAAACUCCGGUGGUGUAAGAUGGACCCGCGUCUGAUUAGCUUGUUGGCGGGUAACGGCCCACCAAGGCGACGAUCAGUAGCCGGCCUGAGAGGGCGGACGGCCACAUUGGGACUGAGACACGGCCCAGACUCCUACGGAAGGCAGCAG
rnacentral:rRNA from 1 species